GGGGUUAACAAGCACAACCAGUGGAAUGAAAAGAAUAGUACACAACAUAACACUUAAUGUUUGUUAAGGAAUAAUGUUUACCUUGUACCUUAACCUUUUUUCCCUGUAAUUAAUUAGUCAUCAUAGAAUAAAUAACUUCAUUUUCUUUUUGUGCGCUAACUCACCAAAAUAUCAAUUGAGUGAAGUCCUUCAAACAAUUUUAUAAGUGAACUGAACAAACUGGAUAGACCAUAAUCUGCGCUGUCCUUUGAAUACAG
rnacentral:misc_RNA from 1 species